UUAAACUAUCUACUGUUGACCUCACCCCAUUCCUAAGAGGUCUGUGUAAGUGGUGUGCAUAAGAGGACCAGCGUGCCUACCAUCCCUGUUCUAAUGUCCCCAUUUAUCCAUUUCAUAUAUUCAUAAUUAUGUCUAUACUUUUAUCUGUUAUCUUAUAUACGCUUGACAAAUAAAAUAAAUAAAAAUAAAAUAAAAAAGCUAUCUGAUCUGCAAAAAGGGAUCUUCAUCAAUGACAUCUGGACUUUAUCUUCCUUUUGAAAAAUUCCUGAGUCCCUUCUGUCUUUUUCUUUUCUAAUCAUUAUUUUCACAGGUUCCUGAUGGGCUUCCAGAAAAAUUCUGAUGGACCCACAGGGCUGGUCCAGCCAGAGGAAACUGAGGGGUUUCUUCAGUAGCAGAUACUGACUGGAAGAAGGUUGCAAAAGGUGAUCACAUGACCCCAGGAACUUUGCAAAUGUCAUAAAUAUGAACCAGUUGCCAUGCAUCUGAAUUUUGAUUAUGUGACUUUGGAGAUGCUACAACGGUGAAUUGCAUGCAAUAUACUCAAGACCCUGCAAAGUUUUAUCCUAAUCAUAACCUUAUGAAAAAAGGUUAUGAAGUUCUACAAAGGAUGGUGACCAAUGUCCUCCAUAGGCUAUGAUGAAAGUUCCCUUAAAUUUUGCAUAAGUAUCAAAUGCCUUUCCAACGAAAAGCAGCCGAGUGGAUAUUGAGAAGAUAU